UACGUAGGUGGCGAGCGUUGUCCGGAUUUACUGGGCGUAAAGAGCGCGCAGGCGGCUGGUCAAGUCCGAUGUGAAAGCUCCCGGCUUAACUGGGAAAUUGCAUCGGAAACUGAUCGGCUGGAAGGUGGGAGAGGGUAGCGGAAUUCCCGGUGUAGUGGUGAAAUGCGUAGAUAUCAGGAAGAACACCCGUGGCGAAGGCGGCUCUCUGGGACGGUACUGACGCUGAGACGCGAAAGCGUGGGGAGCGAACAGG
rnacentral:rRNA from 1 species